UCUACGGGGUGCAGCAGUGGGGGAUAUUGCACAAUGGGGGAAACCCUGAUGCAGCGACGCCGCGUGAGUGAAGAAGUAUUUCGGUAUGUAAAGCUCUAGCAGCAGGGAAGAAAAUGACAGUACCUGACCAAGAAGCCCCGGCUAACUACGUGCCAGCAGCCGCGGUAAUACGUAGGGGGCAGGCGUUAUCCGGAUUUACUGGGUGUACAGGGAGCGUAGACGGUUAUGUAAGUCUGGAGUGAAAGCCCGGGGCCCAACCCCGGGACUGCUUUGGAAACUGUGUAACUGGAGUACAGGAGGGGCAGGCGGAAUUCCUGGUGUAGCGGUGAAAUGCUUAGAGAUCAUACAGAACACCGAUUGCGAAGGCAGCUUACCAAGCUACUUCUGACGUUGAGGCACGAAAGCGUGGGGAGCAAACAGGAUUAGAUACCCGUGUAGUC
rnacentral:rRNA from 1 species